GGGUUGUGAGGUUAAGCGACUAAGCGUACACGGUGGAUGCCCUGGCAGUCAGAGGCGAUGAAGGACGUGCUAAUCUGCGAUAAGCGUCGGUAAGGUGAUAUGAACCGUUAUAACCGGCGAUUUCCGAAUGGGGAAACCCAGUGUGUUUCGACACACUAUCAUUAACUGAAUCCAUAGGUUAAUGAGGCGAACCGGGGGAACUGAAACAUCUAAGUACCCCGAGGAAAAGAAAUCAACCGAGAUUCCCCCAGUAGCGGCGAGCGAACGGGGAGCAGCCCAGAGCCUGAAUCAGUGUGUGUGUUAGUGGAAGCGUCUGGAAAGGCGCGCGAUACAGGGUGACAGCCCCGUACACAAAAAUGCACAUGCUGUGAGCUCGAUGAGUAGGGCGGGACACGUGGUAUCCUGUCUGAAUAUGGGGGACCAUCCUCCAAGGCUAAAUACUCCUGACUGACCGAUAGUGAACCAGUACCGUGAGGGAAAGGCGAAAAGAACCCCGGCGAGGGGAGUGAAAAAGAACCUGAAACCGUGUACGUACAAGCAGUGGGAGCACGCUUAGGCGUGUGACUGCGUACCUUUUGUAUAAUGGGUCAGCGACUUAUAUUCUGUAGCAAGGUUAACCGAAUAGGGGAGCCGAAGGGAAACCGAGUCUUAACUGGGCGUUAAGUUGCAGGGUAUAGACCCGAAACCCGGUGAUCUAGCCAUGGGCAGGUUGAAGGUUGGGUAACACUAACUGGAGGACCGAACCGACUAAUGUUGAAAAAUUAGCGGAUGACUUGUGGCUGGGGGUGAAAGGCCAAUCAAACCGGGAGAUAGCUGGUUCUCCCCGAAAGCUAUUUAGGUAGCGCCUCGUGAAUUCAUCUCCGGGGGUAGAGCACUGUUUCGGCAAGGGGGUCAUCCCGACUUACCAACCCGAUGCAAACUGCGAAUACCGGAGAAUGUUAUCACGGGAGACACACGGCGGGUGCUAACGUCCGUCGUGAAGAGGGAAACAACCCAGACCGCCAGCUAAGGUCCCAAAGUCAUGGUUAAGUGGGAAACGAUGUGGGAAGGCCCAGACAGCCAGGAUGUUGGCUUAGAAGCAGCCAUCAUUUAAAGAAAGCGUAAUAGCUCACUGGUCGAGUCGGCCUGCGCGGAAGAUGUAACGGGGCUAAACCAUGCACCGAAGCUGCGGCAGCGACACUAUGUGUUGUUGGGUAGGGGAGCGUUCUGUAAGCCUGUGAAGGUGUACUGUGAGGUAUGCUGGAGGUAUCAGAAGUGCGAAUGCUGACAUAAGUAACGAUAAAGCGGGUGAAAAGCCCGCUCGCCGGAAGACCAAGGGUUCCUGUCCAACGUUAAUCGGGGCAGGGUGAGUCGACCCCUAAGGCGAGGCCGAAAGGCGUAGUCGAUGGGAAACAGGUUAAUAUUCCUGUACUUGGUGUUACUGCGAAGGGGGGACGGAGAAGGCUAUGUUGGCCGGGCGACGGUUGUCCCGGUUUAAGCGUGUAGGCUGGUUUUCCAGGCAAAUCCGGAAAAUCAAGGCUGAGGCGUGAUGACGAGGCACUACGGUGCUGAAGCAACAAAUGCCCUGCUUCCAGGAAAAGCCUCUAAGCAUCAGGUAACAUCAAAUCGUACCCCAAACCGACACAGGUGGUCAGGUAGAGAAUACCAAGGCGCUUGAGAGAACUCGGGUGAAGGAACUAGGCAAAAUGGUGCCGUAACUUCGGGAGAAGGCACGCUGAUAUGUAGGUGAAGUCCCUCGCGGAUGGAGCUGAAAUCAGUCGAAGAUACCAGCUGGCUGCAACUGUUUAUUAAAAACACAGCACUGUGCAAACACGAAAGUGGACGUAUACGGUGUGACGCCUGCCCGGUGCCGGAAGGUUAAUUGAUGGGGUUAGCGCAAGCGAAGCUCUUGAUCGAAGCCCCGGUAAACGGCGGCCGUAACUAUAACGGUCCUAAGGUAGCGAAAUUCCUUGUCGGGUAAGUUCCGACCUGCACGAAUGGCGUAAUGAUGGCCAGGCUGUCUCCACCCGAGACUCAGUGAAAUUGAACUCGCUGUGAAGAUGCAGUGUACCCGCGGCAAGACGGAAAGACCCCGUGAACCUUUACUAUAGCUUGACACUGAACAUUGAGCCUUGAUGUGUAGGAUAGGUGGGAGGCUUUGAAGUGUGGACGCCAGUCUGCAUGGAGCCGACCUUGAAAUACCACCCUUUAAUGUUUGAUGUUCUAACGUUGACCCGUAAUCCGGGUUGCGGACAGUGUCUGGUGGGUAGUUUGACUGGGGCGGUCUCCUCCUAAAGAGUAACGGAGGAGCACGAAGGUUGGCUAAUCCUGGUCGGACAUCAGGAGGUUAGUGCAAUGGCAUAAGCCAGCUUGACUGCGAGCGUGACGGCGCGAGCAGGUGCGAAAGCAGGUCAUAGUGAUCCGGUGGUUCUGAAUGGAAGGGCCAUCGCUCAACGGAUAAAAGGUACUCCGGGGAUAACAGGCUGAUACCGCCCAAGAGUUCAUAUCGACGGCGGUGUUUGGCACCUCGAUGUCGGCUCAUCACAUCCUGGGGCUGAAGUAGGUCCCAAGGGUAUGGCUGUUCGCCAUUUAAAGUGGUACGCGAGCUGGGUUUAGAACGUCGUGAGACAGUUCGGUCCCUAUCUGCCGUGGGCGCUGGAGAACUGAGGGGGGCUGCUCCUAGUACGAGAGGACCGGAGUGGACGCAUCACUGGUGUUCGGGUUGUCAUGCCAAUGGCACUGCCCGGUAGCUAAAUGCGGAAGAGAUAAGUGCUGAAAGCAUCUAAGCACGAAACUUGCCCCGAGAUGAGUUCUCCCUGACUCCUUGAGAGUCCUGAAGGAACGUUGAAGACGACGACGUUGAUAGGCCGGGUGUGUAAGCGCAGCGAUGCGUUGAGCUAACCGGUACUAAUGAACCGUGAGGCUUAACCUUACAACGCCGAAGCUGUU
rnacentral:rRNA from 1 species